UCAGAAACCUCAAGUCAAUGGAGAUGGAUGAUGAUGGUAAGCCAGCAGCCAUGUAGCAGCAAAAUCUUGAGGAAUGGCUUGCUGCUUGUUUUGCUUCCUCUUGGUCCUUUCUCCGUUCGAGAAUCCAGGCGGAAACUCUGCUAUAGAGGUGGAGAAGUUUGGUUCGGCACGGCCCAGAUCUACCUGGAUGCCGAGGAAUACGGCUGGUGCCGCACCUGGCUCUGGUUGCGUUCCAGGUCGGUGGAGAGGAAUAGUUUCUUCUUCUCUGCUCUGGGCUGUGGAGAGGCCACGGACAUUGGCCGCUACUUCCGCAGCGCAUGGAGUUAGAUGGGCCUGAAGGGAGAGCCGUCCAUCAAGGACAUCCGGACUGCUGUGUCCACUUAUGUGGGUAUCAAAAACACUAAACCAGUGUGUGUCUUUGUAUAGUGACGCAAGUCUAAUUUUCUUUUUUUCUAGAACUUUGAGAAGAAUGACCAGGAGGUGCGCAAGAACCUCUCCUCGUUCAUGUGCCACAGCAUAGAGACGCAGGAGAGGUUCUACGCCCUCCACAAAAAUGUGAAGAGGGCAAAGACCAUGAGAGACCUAUUCGUCUGCCUCUCGGUGGACACACAGUCUGGCACCGAUCAGGCUACCCCUGCUGCUGCCUCCAAUGCCGCUGCAUCCGACGCUGCUGCCUCUGAUUCUGUACAGAAACAGCUGGAGGGGACAACCCAAGUCUCGGUGACCAGCUUAUGAACAGCUUUUAAAGAAAAGAGCAGCUGGGAUGUCCUUCGUCUUUUCUGGUGGCAUCUUUAACCAUCUCUGCUGAAAUGUCUGGAAGUUCCUCAACUUGGG